CGCCGCGCGCCCCUCUCGCCGCUCCGCAUCGCGGGCGAGCCGCUGUCCGCUACCGCCGCUCGGUCCCCGCCGCGGCUCCUCGCCCGCACCGCCGCCCCCCCGCCCCGGCGCGGCCCGGGCCGGCCGCCACCCGCUCCGCGGCGCCGGGCGGCUGUGGGGGAGGGCAUGUAAACAAAUGGGGUUUUAUAGCUACCUCACUCGAGUGCCGUGUGCAUCUCCCUCUCCGCUCGGUACCAAACCGCCGCGGCGCCUCCUCCUCCUCCUCCUGCCGCUCCGCCGGCGCUAUUCACAGAGCCGGCUACGCCGCGCUCGCCCUGCACACGCGGCCCCGCAGCCCGCGCUGCCCAAUGCGCAGCCAUUUCCUCCAGCGCUACGAAAGUGGCGUAGCGGCCCUCCCCGCCCGCCCCUCGCUGCGGCGGCUCCGCGCACGACCCGGCCAUGGCCGCCGGGCCCGGGAGCGCCGGAGGGAGCGCCGCGGGCCCGGGGCAGCGCAGCCAUGUCCCGGCCGAGGGACCCCGGCCCGGGCUGCUCGAGGGGAGCGGGGCCCGCGGGACCGGGGCCGAGCUGCUGCCUCUGCAGCCGCCUGGGGAGACGGUCCGUCAGCAACAACGGGGUAUUCGUACCUUCCUAUGGAGGUACCUUCCUACGGGGGUACCUUUCGGGGCCGAGUUGUUUCAGGCUCUGAAGAAGACUUUUGCUCCUUCAGUGGGUCACUGGGACCUUGCUUGUGUGAAGAUACCUGCCUGAUGUCUGCUCCCAGCAGUGUUUCAGCAGCCGCCUCACAUGCCCUGCUUUGCUCCAGAGCAGGCUUAUCUCUGCACUCAGCAACACACUGCACUCAUCUGAGACAGACACUAUCUUCUCAUUUGAGUGCAGCCCAUUCACAUUACGGAAUGAAUGCUCUCUACAGCACAUAUCCUGGUGGGAGGUCUCCUAUCGGCUCUCGGAGCUUGUUUGCUCAUUUUGAUGAGCUGCUAAUUCUGUUUGAUCUGGGGAACAGGCACAGCAACAAGAUACACACAGUGCCCCCAGCACCAAGUCAAGACAGAGGACACCCAACAGAAGCUUUGGAAGGAAGUGAAAGAUUUUGGCUGACUUCCACUGUCCAGUCCCAUGACAAGAACUGCUCCACACAGUGA
rnacentral:lncRNA from 1 species